GAUGUGGGGACGGAGAAGGUUAGGUCAGCCGGGUGUUGGACGUCCCGGUUUAAGCGUGUAGGCGUGCCCCUUAGGCAAUUCCGGGGGGCUGAGCUGAGGCGUGAUGACGAGGAACCACGGUUCCGAAGUGAUUGAUACCAAGCUUCCAGGAAAAGCCACUAAGCUUCAGUCUAGAGUUGACCGUACCGCAAACCGACACAGGUGGGCAGGAUGAAAAUUCUAAGGCGCUUGAGAGAACUCAGGAGAAGGAACUCGGCAAAUUAACACCGUAACUUCGGGAGAAGGUGUGCCCCGGUAGCGUGUAGAGACUUGCUCUCGAAGCGCGAUGGGGUUGCAGUGAAAUGGUGGCUGCGACUGUUUAAUAAAAACACAGCACUCUGCAAACACGAAAGUGGACGUAUAGGGUGUGACGCCUGCCCGGUGCCGGAAGGUUAAGUGGUGGGGUGCAAGCUCUUGAUCGAAGCCCCGGUAAACGGCGGCCGUAACUAUAACGGUCCUAAGGUAGCGAAAUUCCUUGUCGGGUAAGUUCCGACCUGCACGAAUGGCGUAACGAUGGCCACACUGUCUCCUCCUGGGACUCAGCGAAGUUGAAAUGUUUGUGAAGAUGCAAUCUACCCGCGGCUAGACGGAAAGACCCCAUGAACCUUUACUGUAGCUUUGCAUUGGACUUUGAACCGGUUUGUGUAGGAUAGGUGGGAGACUGUGAAGCCGGGACGCUAGUUUCGGUGGAGUCAACCUUGAAAUACCACCCUGAUUUGUUUGAGGUUCCAACCUUGGUCCGUGAAUCCGGAUCGGGGACCGUGCAUGGUAGGCAGUUUGACUGGGGCGGUCUCCUCCCAAAAGGUAACGGAGGAGUACGAAGGUACGCUUAGGGCGGUCGGACAUCGCCCACAAAGUGCAAUGGCAAAAGCGUGCUUGACUGCGAGACCCACAAGUCGAGCAGGUACGAAAGUAGGUCAUAGUGAUCCGGUGGUUCUGUAUGGAAGGGCCAUCGCUCAACGGAUAAAAGGUACUCUGGGGAUAACAGGCUAAUUCCUCCCAAGAGUUCAUAUCGACGGGGGAGUUUGGCACCUCGAUGUCGGCUCAUCACAUCCUGGGGCUGUAGUCGGUCCCAAGGGUAUGGCUGUUCGCCAUUUAAAGUGGUACGCGAGCUGGGUUUAAAACGUCGUGAGACAGUUUGGUCCCUAUCUGCCGUGGGCGCUGGAAAUUUGAAGGGGGCUGCUCCUAGUACGAGAGGACCGGAGUGGACGAACCUCUGGUGUACCGGUUAUGACGCCAGUCGUAUCGCCGGGUAGCUAAGUUCGGAAGAGAUAAACGCUGAAA
rnacentral:rRNA from 1 species